GCCUGUUGAGCGCGCGCCUUCCAACGGUCAUCAAAAAAACCCCAACGCCCUCCAGCAAAGCAGGAGUCAAGCCAAGUUUCUUUGAUGUCAGGUCCCAGCUUCGCUUCACACAACGACUGGUAGCUUUUGCUCCUGCUUUCUGACCUGCUUGAGUUCCAGUCCUGCAUCCUUUGGUGAUGAACAGCAGUAUGGAAGUGCAAGCACACACACUAGACUGGCCUAGGAGUAUGGGGAUUGGUGCUUACUCUCUGUGAUCCUGUACCUGCAAUGAACUUCACUGCUCAGCAUCCGUCUCCCUCCCUGGAGCCUGCUCACAGUUGUUUCUUCAGCUCUAUCACAGUGUCAAAUACACCUCCUUCCAAUGAAUAUUUGGAAUGAUGUUUUCAUUUAUUAGGUUGAAGCAGUUGGUGUGCUUUAGAAAAUGAUUAUAGAGCAUUGGGUCUGGCAGCUCUGUAGAAAAACAUGGAAGCAGCUGAAAGUGUUCCUCCCUCUGCUUGUAUGCUUCUGGAAGCCAUCAGAGGCCAUCCGUCAAACCAACCUGGCCUGUCUUCUGUGCUGUCACACAGGGCUGGAGCAUGUGGGCAGAAUUAAUGUGCCAGGUGAGAGGAAAAUAAGUACUGGUAUACAAAGACAAAAGGACUUCCAUCCUGUUUAUUCCAUUAAGUCUUGACAUUUAUUUUUUUAGACAUAUACCAUGUUUAGGUUAUAGAAAAUAAAAUAAAAUGUUCCUUGAAGCCCCGGUCCCAGCAGAGGCUGGGCAGACCUAUUGCCGUUUCACCUCCUGCUAGCCCUUGAAGUGGAAGAUGCAAUCUUGGGUUUGAGCUGAGCUGCCUGACACGUGUCAACCUCUAGAAAAUUCGCAGGUGUAUCACACAGCAGCUUUCAACAUGCCGUGAAAAGAAGUCUCCGGCAUGUUCCAAGUCUGCCUGGAAAUCAAAUCCCUCUUUGUCCCCCCCCCCCUCCAUCUUAGACUGAAAGGUAUGGAGCCCUCUAGGCAUGCCCAGCAGCUCACAACGUUGACCAGAGCUGCCCAACCCUAGACAACCAGGACUGUGAUAAGUCGGCCUAUUACUGUGAACCACUGACUGGUCGAGAGUUUUGUCAUUGUGACCACCAGAAUUCUUUUGUAGUUAUGAUCCAUUAGUGUACAGAUUGUUCCACUGGCACUCCUGUCACUAGGAAUGGACUUGGCUCCACCGACCUCACUCUCCAUUUGUCCUAGAAAAUCAGACCCAUAUUUCAUGACAUUUUAGUUGCCAGUUCUGAAUACCUGGGAGGCACUUUUCAGAUAUACAUGGGAUUUAAGGAGGCCCAUGAGGAAACGAAGAUACACAUCCUUAGUGUGAGGAGAAGGAACUAGGAUCAUUUAGGUUCACCUUAAGAAAAUGGCAGGCAUACACCUGCACCCAGGUCACCUGGGUCAUUCAGGCUAGCAGGCAUGCCCAUCUGGGUUUACGCAGAGAAAUAGGGACACUGUACCUUUCAGAAUGGUGACACACAGAAUUGGGACAUAAGUAAGUCAUGGUUUGUAACAACCAGCUAUGAGGAUUAACAACAGUAACCAAGGCUAGCAAAGUUUUAACCUAGGAUAAAUGUACCUGUAGCUAUAAAAACAGAUGCACCUGGAGAUGUUGUCCGUCUUCCACUGCCAGUGGGAGUGUAAAUUGAUUUGGACCCUUAGAAACCUUGGAAGUCAGUGGAAGUUACUUUGUAGAGCAAAAACCCUCAUCAGUAAUGUGCACAGGCUCACAUCAGAAGAGCUGAUGGCCUGCUGCUGGGUAUGUUCAACAUACCAAAAGUCUUAGCACGACCAGUGCCACGCCUGUGAGGAGCAGGCUACGUUUAGAAAGAUCAGCUAUACUAUAUGUCCUGAAAUUGAAUGGCAGUCUCAUCCAAAAAGGAAUUUCUCUAUACCUUCCUUGACUUUAAAAGGUCAAGCAGGGGCUGGAGAGCUCGAAGGGCUGCUGGUUGAGAUGUAAGAACACAGGGUGUUCUUGUAGAGGAGCCAGGUUCAGUUCCCAACACCCACAUGUUGGCUCAAACCCAACCAUAACACCAGUUCCAGGAAUCUGAUGCCCUCUUUUGACCUCUGCAGUCAACAAGCACACACAUGUUGAGCAGACAUACAUGCAGGCAAGACAUCCAUACACAUAAAUAAAAUAAAAAUUAAACAGGUAGCAGAGCAUUAACUAGUUGACAGUCCUAUCUGUAGUCACCUAAGAGUACAGCAUAGCUGUGGUUGACAUAGAUACUAAGUAUUUUUGCUAGCUCAUCUCAGAUGCAAUAUCUUUUCAGAGAUUCAGCUACUGGAAAAGAGAAGAUUAGACUUGUUUUCUGAGAACUUUGUUGAGAAUCUCCCUGGGAUUGGAGAGAUGGCUCAGCAGUUCAAAGCAUUGACUGCUCUUCCAGAGGAUGUGAGUUCAAUCCCUAGCACCCACAUGAGAUUCACAACUGUCUGUGACUCUAGUUCCAAGGGUUUCUAUGCCCUCAUCAUCCUCCAGGCAUUCACAUGGUACAUAAACAUACAUGAAGGAAAACCACCCAUACACAUAAAUAAUAAAAGUGUUCACCUGUCCUCAUCACAAACGGCACACCCUGACAGGUUCUGACUUACCCAUAUCACACAUGUCUACCAGCCUGCAUUCACAAGCAAGUUCCUUCUGUUUUUUAAGUGACACAUUUGUGGUCACUGACACCAUGAAAUAACUACUAAAAUGAGAUUUCUUAUACUCCUAUCUCACAUCACAGUAAGGACAGCACAGUAAUGUCUUAAAUGUAUACAAAAGUAAUUAUUGAUGAAUUCAAGAUAAUAAAUGAUGUGACAUGAUAUGAUUGUUAUGAGGAUGAAAUAGAAUAAGACAGAAAAGGCCAAUUAUUAGAUACUGAGCUAUCGAUGUAUUCAAUGAUGUACUUAAAGCACUGUUGGCGCGGCCUGUCUGCCAAGCAUGACUUCACUGCUACCUGGAACACAAUGACCUGGAGAAAUAGCUGAGACAAUGAGCUGUUCCCUUAACAACCUGCUGACUGACAUCUGUGCUCUGUAAAAUCUUGCCUGCUUGCCUGCCCCACCUUGUGGUUUUAGAAUAAGAAAUGAGAGUGCAAAAUGGACCCAACAUUGAUGCCUUUCACGAACUGUCCUGGCUUUGGUCCACUGGUGGCAUCUCCUCUCUUCCACUCUCGUUGUGGGAGUACUUAUUCCAGAAAGAUUCCCUCAAAAAUAUAGCAGCUGACAGUACUCCCAAGAUAAAAUCCAAAGACAGC
ensembl:antisense Rbm46os RNA binding motif protein 46, opposite strand